GCCUCGGUGGUGUAGUGGUAGCACGCGCUCCUGGUGUGGGUUAAACGCGGGUUCAACUCCCGUCCGAGGUU